AGCAGCCGCGGUAAUUCCAGCUCCAAUAGCGUAUAUUAAAGUUGUUGCAGUUAAAAAGCUCGUAGUUGAAUUUCGGGAUCAAUUUAUUGGUCGUGCUAUUGUACGUACUGGUAUAAUCGGUUUCUCCUUUCUGACGAACUAUAAUGCCAUUAAUUUGGUGUUUUAGGGAAUCAGGACUGUUACUUUGAAAAAAUUAGAGUGUUUAAAGCAGGCUCACGCUUGAAUACAUUAGCAUGGAAUAACGGAAUAGGACGUUUGAUUCUAUUUUGUUGGUUUCUAGGAUCGACGUAAUGAUUAAUAGGGAUAGUUGGGGGCAUUAGUAUUCAAUUGUCAGAGGUGAAAUUCUUGGAUUUAUUGAAGACUAACUACUGCGAAAGCAUUUGCCAAGGAUGUUUUCAUUAAUCAAGAACGAAAGUUAGGGGAUCGAAGACGAUCAGAUACCGUCGUAGUCUUAACCAUAAACUAUGCCGACUAGGGAUCGGAUGACGUUAAUUUUUAAUGUACUCAUUCGGCGCCUUAC
rnacentral:rRNA from 1 species